CNUGGUUGAUCCUNCCAGUAGUCAUAUGCUUGUNUCAAAGANUAAGCCAUGCAAGUNUAAAGUACAUNNUUUUACAAAGUGAAACCGNGAAUGGCUCAUUAAAUCAGUUAUGGUUCCUUAGAUCGUACUAUCCUACUUGGAUAACUGUGGUAAUUCUAGAGNUAAUACAUGCAGCAGAACUCAGNCCUUACGGGANGAGUGCUUUUAUUAGACCAAGACCAAUCGGGCUUCGGCUCGACACCCAUGGCGACUCUGGAUAACUNUGGGCUGAUCGCACGAUCUUGUAUCGGCGACGUUUCUUUUUAAGUGUUUGCCUUAUCAACUGUCGAUGGUAGGUUAUGCGCCUACCAUGGUCGUAACGGGUGACGGGGAAUCAGGGUUCGAUUCCGGAGAGGGAGCCUGAGAAACGGCUACCACAUCCAAGGAAGGCAGCAGGCGCGCAAAUUACCCACUCCCGGCAAGGGGAGGUAGUGACGAAAAAUAAAAUAGCGUAUAUUAAAGUUGUUGCGGUUAAAAAGCUCGUAGUUGGAUCUCAGUUCGAGACUGGCGGUCCGCCGUUCGGUGGUUACUGCCAGGACUCAACAUCCUGCCGGUUUUCCCCUGGUGCUCUUCACUGAGUGUCUCGGGUGCCCGGCACGUUUACUUUGAAAAAAUUAGAGUGCUCAAAGCAGGCGUUUAGCCUGAAUAAUGGUGCAUGGAAUAAUGUAAUAGGAUCUCGGUUCUAUUGUGUUGGUUUUCGGAACACGAGGUAAUGAUUAAAAGGGACAGACGGGGGCAUUCGUAUUGCGACGCUAGAGGUGAAAUUCUUGGACCGUCGCAAGACGAACUACUGCGAAAGCAUUUGCCAAGCAUGUUUUCAUCAAUCAAGAACGAAAGUUAGAGGUUCGAAGGCGAUCAGAUACCGCCCUAGUUCUAACCAUAAACGAUGCCAACCAGCAAUCAGCCUGAGUUCCUCAAAUGACUCGGCUGGCGGCUUCCGGGAAACCAAAGUUUAUGGGUUCCGGGGGAAGUAUGGUUGCAAAGCUGAAACUUAAAGGAAUUGACGGAAGGGCACCACCAGGAGUGGAGCCUGCGGCUUAAUUUGACUCAACACGGGAAAACUUACCCGGCCCGGACACCGGAAGGAUUGACAGAUUAAGAGCUCUUUCUUGAUUCGGUGGGUGGUGGUGCAUGGCCGUUCUUAGUUGGUGGAGCGAUUUGUCUGGUUAAUUCCGAUAACGAACGAGACUCUAGCCUACUUAAUAGAGAACCGAUUUCCUCUCGUCGGUUACUCUUCUUAGAGGGACAAGCGGCGUUUAGCCGCCCGAGACAGAGCAAUAACAGGUCUGUGAUGCCCUUAAAUGUCCGGGGCCGCACGCGCGCUACACUGAAGGAAUCAGCUUGUGUUCACCCUGGCCGAAAGGUCUGGGUAACCCGUUGAACCUCCUUCGUGAUAGGGAUAGGGGCUUGUAACUAUUCCCCUUGAACGAGGAAUUCCCAGUAAGCGCGAGUCAUAAGCUCGCGUUGAUUACGUCCUCUGCCCUUUGUACACACCGCCCGUCGCUACUACCGAUUGAAUGAUUUAGUGAGGUC
rnacentral:rRNA from 1 species